rnacentral:rRNA from 1 species
AUUGAACGCUGGUGGAAUGCUUUACACAUGCAAGUCGAGCGGCAGCACGGGGGCAACCCUGGUGGCGAGCGGCGAACGGGUGAGUAAUACAUCGGAACAUGCCCAGUCGUGGGGGAUAACACUUCGAAAGAAGUGCUAAUACCGCAUACGUCCUGAGGGAGAAAGCGGGGGAUCUUCGGACCUCGCGCGAUUGGAGUGGCCGAUGUCAGAUUAGCUAGUUGGUGGGGUAAAGGCCUACCAAGGCAACGAUCUGUAGCUGGUCUGAGAGGAUGAUCAGCCACACUGGGACUGAGACACGGCCCAGACUCCUACGGGAGGCAGCAGUGGGGAAGUUUGGACAAUGGGGGCAACCCUGAUCCAGCCAUUCCGCGUGAGUGAAGAAGGCCUUCGGGUUGUAAAGCUCUUUCGGCAGGAACGAAACGGCGGGCUCUAACAUAGCUUGCUAAUGACGGUACCUGAAGAAGAAGCACCGGCUAACUACGUGCCAGCCGCCGCCGUAACAC